ACUAUUUUGACUAUAAUUGUCUGAUCUUUUAUCAGAGAUUCCUCUCCUUUUAGUGUUAAACAGUCUGCUGCCCUCAAGUCUGUUACAGUCCCUAUAGCACAUUGUCUCAAUGAAGUCAUUUGCCGUUUGUUUAUGAAGUAGUAAAUUUCUCCAUUAUCAUCUGGCUCUGUUUUUGGUAAUUCAUUGAUUCUGUCCCUGAGUGCUGUAAUUACUGUUUCACUGCAUUGCAGUGCCUUCAUCACUCUUCAAUAAUUGAUUAAGAAAAGACAGUUUUGUUUUUAUAUCGGAUAAUAUUGCUUUAAAUUCAUCCAUUUGUACAUCAUUUACCUUCUUUUUUUCUUUUGUAGAUUGUCUCUACUUCAUUUUUCAUUUUGUCUCUAUUCUCUUUUACUUUUUUUCAAUAUUUCUUCUACAUGAUUGUCUAUAUCUAUUAAACAUGUGUCUUUAUUUUGUUGUAAUUUUGUAGCAUUGUGGAUAACAGCUUUGAGAACACCUUCUAAUUUGUUUAUGAAGCGUUGGGCAGAUUUUUCUAAGGUGGCUGAAGUUUCUUUAAAUGUUUGGAAUGCGUCUGAAAUGUUUGAUAGUUUCUAAUAAGUUAUUUAGAAAGGUAUUUGGUGGAAGCUUCUCAAGCCCUCUUUUUGGAAUGGGAUAUGAUUUUGAGCAAGUUGGGCAAGUCAGCUGACCCUUCUCCUUAACCCAAUCUUCCAGGCAUCCCAAACAGAAACUAUGGAGGCAGUUGAGGAAUUUUGGAUUUUGAAGUCUCUUAAAGCAGAUGGUACACUCAUCAACCUUCUCAUCAACAUGUUCCAGAAACUGAUUCAACUUACUGGUAGCCAUCUUGAAUUGAUUUCCCGUGAAAUUUAAAUAAUAGGGUCUGAUAGUCUUUAAGAGGAUCAUACAACAAGCAGAGUACUGCAGAGUAGAACAGAACAAGAGAACACAGAUGAGGAGGAGGCGGAGC